AAACUGCGGAGAUACUACUAUAUUUUAUCAGUGUACGGCUCAGUGUAACUCCGGCUAUGAAUUUGAUAACGGCGACACAGCCAUACAAAAAGACUGUGACCCCAUGACAGGGCAGUUUUUUGAUGGUCCCGCUUUUCCAAAAUGUAUACCCACCUGUAGCCCAGCCUGUCAAAAUGGAAA